UACAGAGGGGGCAAGCGUUAUUCGGAAUUAUUGGGCGUAAAGGGCGCGUAGGCGGCCUGGCAAGUGGAAGGUGAAAUCCCUCGGCUUAACCGAGGAACUGCCCUCCAAACUGCUUGGCUUGAGUCCGGGAGAGGUGAGUGGAAUUCCCAGUGUAGCGGUGAAAUGCGUAGAUACUGGGAGGAACACCGGUGGCGAAGGCGGCUACCUGGACCGGUUCUGACGCUGAGGCGCGAAAGCGUGGGGAGCAAACAGG
rnacentral:rRNA from 1 species